rnacentral:rRNA from 1 species
AUCCUGUUAAGUACAGGCAACGAGCGAGACCCACGCCACAGUGCCAGCAUGUCCUCCGGGAGUGAUGGGGACGACUGUUGGGACCGCCUCUGCUAAAGAGGAGGAAGGAAUGGGCAACGGUAGGUCAGCAUGCCCCGAAUUAUCCGGGCUACACGCGGGCUACAAUGGUCAGGACAAUGGGUAUCGACACCGAGAGGUGGAGGCAAUCUCCUAAACCUGUCCUUAGUUCGGAUUGUGGGCUGCAACUCGCCCACAUGAAGCUGGAAUCCGUAGUAAUCGCGUUUCAAAAUAGCGCGGUGAAUAUGUUCCUGCUCCUU